UACAGAGGUCCCAAGCGUUGUUCGGAUUCAUUGGGCGUAAAGGGUGCGUAGGCGGCGCGGUAAGUCGGAUGUGAAAUCUCGGAGCUUAACUUCGAAACUGCAUUCGAUACUGCCGUGCUUGAGGACUGGAGAGGAGACUGGAAUUUACGGUGUAGCGGUGAAAUGCGUAGAUAUCGUAAGGAAGACCAGUGGCGAAGGCGGGUCUCUGGGCCUUACCUGACGCUCAGGUGCGAAAGCUAGGGGAGCGAACAGG
rnacentral:rRNA from 1 species